CAUGACAGGUGCAUUCUGUUUUGAGGUAUGUAGAGAGGGAUCUCUUAAAGGACUUUAGGCUUAGGGAUGAUUUUAAAUUGUGCGGGAGGUCGUUCCACAAUUGCGGUGCUCUGUAGGAGAAGGAGGAUCUGGCCGUUUUCUUUUUGUAUUGAGGUAGACUAAAUAAAGUGUUGGUACUGGAUCGGAGCUUAUAGGAAGUGGGAACAGCAGGGGAAAGCAUUUUGUUCAGGUAGGGUGGGAGUUUCCCAGAAAAGCUCUUAAACACAAGGCUGGAAAGAUGAAGGGUGCGUCUGGAUUCCAG